rnacentral:rRNA from 2 species
CCCGGGGAAAAGGCUGAGUGCAGUCGAACGAACUCUGGUAUUGAUUGGUGCUUGCAUCAUGAUUUACAUUUGAGUGAGUGGCGAACUGGUGAGUAACACGUGGGAAACCUGCCCAGAAGCGGGGGAUAACACCUGGAAACAGAUGCUAAUACCGCAUAACAACUUGGACCGCAGGGUCCGAGCUUGAAAGAUGGCUUCGGCUAUCACUUUUGGAUGGUCCCGCGGCGUAUUAGCUAGAUGGUGGGGUAACGGCUCACCAUGGCAAUGAUACGUAGCCAACCUGAGAGGGUAAUCGGCCACAUUGGGACUGAGACACGGCCCAAACUCCUACGGGAGGCAGCAGUAGGGAAUCUUCCACAAUGGACGAAAGUCUGAUGGAGCAACGCCGCGUGAGUGAAGAAGGGUUUCGGCUCGUAAAACUCUGUUGUUAAAGAAGAACAUAUCUAAGAGUAACUGUUCAGGUAUUGACGGUAUUUAACCAGAAAGCCACGGCUAACUACGUGCCAGCAGCCGCGGUAAUACGUAGGUGGCAAGCGUUGUCCGGAUUUAUUGGGCGUAAAGCGAGCGCAGGCGGUUUUUUAAGUCUGAUGUGAAAGCCUUCGGCUCAACCGAAGAAGUGCAUCGGAAACUGGGAAACUUGAGUGCAGAAGAGGACAGUGGAACUCCAUGUGUAGCGGUGAAAUGCGUAGAUAUAUGGAAGAACACCAGUGGCGAAGGCGGCUGUCUGGUCUGUAACUGACGCUGAGGCUCGAAAGUAUGGGUAGCAAACAGGAUUAGAUACCCUGGUAGUCCAUACCGUAAACGAUGAAUGCUAAGUGUUGGAGGGUUUCCGCCCUUCAGUGCUGCAGCUAACGCAUUAAGCAUUCCGCCUGGGGAGUACGGCCGCAAGGCUGAAACUCAAAGGAAUUGACGGGGGCCCGCACAAGCGGUGGAGCAUGUGGUUUAAUUCGAAGCUACGCGAAGAACCUUACCAGGUCUUGACAUACUAUGCAAAUCUAAAAGAUUAGACGUUCCCUUCGGGGACAUGGAUACAGGUGGUGGCAGGGUUGUCGUCAGCUCCUGUCCUGAAAAGUUUUGGGUUAAGUCCCGCAACGAGGGCAA